GAUGAACGCUAGCGGCAGGCCUAAUACAUGCAAGUCGAACGGUAACUGAUGUAGCAAUACAACAGCAAGAGUGACGUACGGGUGCGUAACACGUAUGCAACCUACCCUUUACUGGCGGAUAGCUCGGGGAAACUCGAAUUAACCCGCCAUAAUAUCAUUGGAUGGCAUCAUGAUGUAGUUAAAGCUCCGGCGGUUAAGGAUGGGCAUGCGGUACAUUAGCUAGUUGGUGAGGUAAUGGCUCACCAAGGCUACGAUGUAUAGGGGGUCUGAGAGGAUGAUCCCCCACACUGGUACUGAGACACGGACCAGACUCCUACGGGAGGCAGCAGUAGGGAAUAUUGGUCAAUGGACGCAAGUCUGAACCAGCCAUGCCGCGUGAAGGAUGAAGGCCCUAUGGGUCGUAAACUUCUUUUAUUAGGGAAGAAAAAACGGGAUGCGUCCUGUACUGACGGUACUUAAUGAAUAAGGAUCGGCUAACUUCGUGCCAGCAGCCGCGGUAA
rnacentral:rRNA from 1 species